UCCGCGGCCGCCCCGGCAGCGCCUCCGGCGACGGCCUCCAGGACCCGCUCGUGCGCGUGAGCAGCCUCGGGGACGCCUUCCUGGACGACCGCGACGACGACGCAGCAAAACUUGCAGCGGGCGGAGACCUGGAUGAGGAUUUGGGGAACGGCGACGACGAACUCAGGCGAGAGGGAUUAAAGUUCUAGAGAUAUAGAUAGAAAUGUUGCUCAAGAUGCUCGAAGGAAUUCAUAACAAUCAAGUUCACAAGGAUUCAACUCCAGCAGAUACUGUCGAUCCCGAGGGUGCAGAGGUGCUUUGAGCUCCGCCUCUCGACCGCCACAUCCUAAAGUUCAGUUACGCGUGUGUAAUUAUGGUUCAGUUCCAUGCACCAAUCAUGGAUACCUCUACCAAGUCGUUCUCGCCGUUUGGUAUGGAGGUCUUUCUCCUCGACAUGAAACUCGCAUCUGAAUCUGUCCCCAUGGAUUUGGGAGCCCCGACCUAAUUUACCAUGUUCGCAUCCAGAAUAAGAUUGUAUAGGGAUCUGUCGAUGUCGAACUAUUCUUAGAGGCUGCACUUGGUUUAUAUUAUGGGAAAGUAAACAAACCUGACAGGCUAAAGGUGAUCAUUGUAUUGCUUACUGCUUAGGGACAUGUUACAGUUACACAAUCAAACAUGAAUUGGAUUUAUUGUGUUCUCAGCUACUCAACUUACCUCUAAUUCGGAACAUACAUUCUGUAGGCUCUUUUACUUCUUGCAUGCUCCAUUGAGGCAGAUCCAAGCACAAUUAUUCUGUGGGUGUUUUAUCUUCAUAUUUACUAUCAAAAGGAUGAAGGACUUGGAACAUUUUCAGUGAACUGCAGGAGGGUGGGUGGAGGGCGGAGGGCGCGCUCACCGGUGCUCUGGCAUCAUGCUCGACGAGGAAGAGGGCUUGGCGUCGGGGACGUGAAUCUGGUUGUGGCGUCGGAUGCAUGGCGCGGCUGGCGCAACUUCCUCUGGCCGCACGACGAGGCAUCUGGCCGCGCAGCGAGGCAGGGCCCAAACUCCAUGACAACUUUCUUCCUCGGCGGCAGAUGAACCCUGUUGUUCAUGAUGAGGAGAUCAACCCUGUUGUGUAUUUUAUCUAAUGGUUUCAAACCAUGUUGUUCAUGAUGUGGAGAUGAACCCUGUUGGUCAUGUAAGUUAGAUGCCUGGAUUGUGAAUCCUUGAAUGUUUCCCUGUUGGUCAUGUAAGUUAGAUGCCUGGAUUGUGAAUCCUUGAAUGUUUCCCUGUUGGUUAUGUAAGUUAGAUGCCUGGAUUGUGAAUCCUUGAAUGUUUCAAAAUGUUGGUUUCAAACAUAGAUUGCUUGGAAAUAUUGGUUUUAAACA